CAAGUCGAACGGGACUGAGGCCGCAAGGUUUCAGUUCAGUGGCGAAAGGGCGAGUAAUACAUCGAUCAUCUACCCCAGGGACCGGAACAACACUUGGAAACGAGUGCUAAUGCCGGAUGGUCCAGCAAUGGUAAACGGCGGGGACCGCAAGGCCUGCCGCCCAGGGAGGAGUCGAUGGCCUAUCAGCUUGUUGGUGAGGUAACGGCUCACCAAGGCGAAGACGGGUAGCCGGACUGAGAGGUUGGUCGGCCGCACUGGGACUGGGACACUGCCCAGACUCCUACGGGAGGCUGCAGUCGAGGAUCUUCCGCAAUGGGGGCAACCCUGACGGAGCGACGCCGCGUGCAGGAUGAAGGCCUUCGGGUCGUAAACUGCUGUCACACGUUAUGAACAAGUGUGGACUAAUACUCCACACCCUGACAAAGGCGUGAAAGGAAGCCACGGCUAACUUCGUGCCAGCAGCCGCGGUAAGACGAAGGUGGCAAGCGUUGCUCGGAUUUACUGGGCAUAAAGCGCGCGUAGGUGGUCCUGCAAGCGGAGGAUGAAAGCCCAUGGCUCACCCAUGGAAUUGUCCUUCGGACUGCAGGGCUGGAGGACGGGAGGGGAGAAUGGAAUUCCCGGUGUAGCGGUGAAAUGCGUAGAUAUCGGGAGGAACGCCGGUGGCGAAAGCGAUUCUCUGGCCCGUUCCUGACACUGAGGCGCGAAAGCUAGGGGAGCAAACAGGAUUAGAUACCCUGGUAGUCCUAGCUGUAAACGAUGGGCACUGGGUAGAAGGGGGUGUCGAUACUCUCUCUGCCGAAGCAAAUGUGUUAAGUGCCCCGCCUGGGGAGUACGGUCGCAAGGCUAAAACUCAAAGAAAUUGACGGGGGCUCACACAAGCGGUGGAGCAUGUGGGUUCAAUUCGAAGCACCGCGAAGAACCUUACCC
rnacentral:rRNA from 1 species